AUACGGAGGGUGCAAGCGUUACUCGGAAUCACUGGGCGUAAAGCGCGCGCAGGCGGCCAUUUAAGUUGGAUGUGAAAGUCUACGGCUCAACCGUAGAACUGCAUCCAAAACUAUUUGGCUAGAGUGUGGGAGAGGAAGAUGGAAUUAGUUGUGUAGGGGUAAAAUCCGUAGAGAUAACUAGGAAUACCAAAAGCGAAGGCAAUCUUCUGGAACAUUACUGACGCUGAGGCGCGAAAGCGUGGGGAGCAAACAGGAUUAGAAACCCGAGUAGUCC
rnacentral:rRNA from 1 species